AUAUUUAUUGAAAUGAUUAAAAAUGUAGCGUCAACGUCAACAGGAAAACAGUGGCUCCACAGUAGGCUUCAGUGCAAGAGAGAGGGCGGGAGAGAACCGGACACAUAAUGUGGAUACAAUCGAUAUUCCUGCGAGCAGUGACCAUUUUGUUGGUUGGUUGGGUAAGCCGAAUCAGACAGCAGCCACUUCACAGCAACAGAUCCACAUACAAAUUGUUUCGAUUUUAAGCUGGGACACGUCAUCUGCCAGUCGGAUGAGUCUCAUCUGCUGCUGUCGUCUGGCCAGACAGGCGGCGAGGGAGCACCAGCCAAAGCCGAGUUUCCCGUCUGGGAUGAUGCGCAGGGCGAGUGGCCAGGUGUGGCGGAUCAGUGAGUCUAGCACCAAAAAUACUUUCGCUUGUUUGCAGCGUAAAAGUAUGCAACAUUGUUGGGCCACUCAGCGUCUUUUCACAAUUUCAUAGCAUACUUAUUGGAGAAAUAAAAUGUGGAAAAAUAAUAGAAACCCGCUGCAAGGCGAUUAAUGUGCCAGGAAAUCAAUUUUAAUUCAUUUUCCCACCUAUUAAAUAUUCCAUUUGUGGGACUGUGGCAAAGGAAUUGCUUGGACUAACCACCUUUUAUUGGCUGGCCAGUAUUUCCACGAUGUUCCUAUUCACAUUCAGGACUGACCUGUGGAAAAGUGGUGGGAGAGCCAAUUUGAAGUUCAAUUUCCUGACACUCCCCCACAAUUUUCUGUCUGGCUAAAAUGCUUCAUUCCACUGCUUUUUCAUGCAAUUUUUGAUAAAAGGAUUGGUCGAGCACGUGGAAAUGGUCACCGAAUAAAG
rnacentral:lncRNA from 1 species